rnacentral:tRNA from 1 species
GGUAUAGCCCAGUGGUAGAGUGUGUGCUUAGCAUGCAUGAGGUCCUGGGUUCAAUCCUCAGUACC